AUAAUGAGUAAAAAAUUAGGGUAUUUAAUCCGAUUAUUUCUGAAAGAAUAAAACAACGGUUGAGGGGCUUUUGGGUGGAGCAUGUUGAGUCAAGAAACAACACAAAAGAGGAAAAAAGAAGGUUUCCUUGCCCAGGUUGAUCCCAUUAGUCAUUGUUGGUUGGUGUCCUACACAUUGCAAAGUUGGGGAAUUUAUCAUUAGUGAGAUGGUUAAGAGACGUGGUUCUUACUCCACUGGUCGAUCUAAUGCACUUGCUGGACAUGGUGAUGGACAAAAUCCUACCCGUGGUGGUGGUCGAGUUGGGUCUCAUCCAACCUACCUCAAACUAGGGCACAGGCCAGUCCUUAGCAUGGAGUUUGGAAUGGGGGUCAACCCCAAGUUGUGGUUCCUGAGCGAGUACAUGACCAAGUUGAUCAUGAUACUCUAACUGCAGCACCUGUUGUUGUACCUAUUAUUACAUUGCCUGCAGAUGUUGUGGUAAGAAUGUUGAAUGUACUGGAGGCGUUGGUACCUAAUCAGGGUCAAACUCCAGCCCCUCAGACUACUUUACAGACGCAAGAACAAGUUAAGUUGAAUAUUGCAACUUCUCAGGCACCUCAACUAGUUGAUCAUUCGAUUGUAGUUGUAGGGCAACCCAAAGAUCAUAAGAAUUUCAUAGAUCUUAAGCCACCGGAGUUUAAUUCUACACCAUCUUCUGUUGAGCCUCAAGAUUUUUAGAUCAUUGUGAGAAGAUACUGACUCCUUGGGAUUAAAGAAGACUCGUGGUGUAGAAUUUACCACUUUUCUAUUCUCAGGGUCUCCUGAGGCGGACUUUCAUUUUGAGGGGAAGACAAGAAGGGCUACUGCCGAUUACUUGGUCAGAGUUUUCAACCAUGUUUAUGAACAAAUUUAUUCCAUUGAUCAAACAAGAUGACAUGAGAUAACAGUUUAAUGCUUUACAUCAGGGAUCUAUGACACUCACUAAGUACAAAGCUAUAUUUACUGAGUUAUCCAGGUAUGUUCCAUCUUUAGUUGCAGAUCAGAGGGAGAAAGUAAGACAAUUUGUGGAUGGACUUGAGGCUCACUAUCGUGGUCCAGUGAUACGGGAUGUGUGUAAUGGAUGCUAUUCUAAGGUGGUUGACACUGCUCUUUGUUUUGAGUCCUAUUAUGAGAUGGAAAAGAUUAAUCCAGAAAAUAUAAAGACACGUAACUCAGGUGGGUUUAGUGGUUCUUCAUCUGGGAGAAAGAGUAGUUUUGAUCGUGGAUAGUCUAUGAUUACAUAGUCAGACUUGGUGGGCCAAUCUUCAAGGAAUAGUUAUCUAGCUAGAUAGGGUCAGCAGCAGCAGAUACAUAGGAAGGGUAGCGGUUUCUUUCAGUGUGGGUAGUGUUUGAAAUGUUCUAAUUGUGGCAGGAAUCAUACAGGACGUUGUUUUGGAGUUAGAGGUCUUUGUUAUACUUGUGGUAAAAGAGGGUAUAUUACUAAGUUUUGUCUUAAGGGAGAUUCUGGGUCGUCAUGCUACUCCUCAGACACAAAGAGAUGUUGCAGGUAUUCAUGCUCACACUCAACCAGCUAGGAACGCUCCACAGGGUGCUCAUGGACAGGGUUAACAAGGUGCUCAGGGUUCUCAGACAGCAGGUGGACCAUCAAGAUUCUUUGCUAUGGCUAGAGAAAACAUAGAGUUAUCUAAUGUAAUAGUCACAGGUAUUAUCACUGUAAAUUCUCAUGAGGCAUAUUCUCUUAUUGAUCCUGGUUCUACAUACUCGUAUGUGUCUCCAUUUUUUCUUUAUUCUUAGAAAGAAGGAUUGAGACUCUUGUCGCGCCAUAUAUUGUUAUGACCUUGGUGGGGGAGACCUUAUCAGUGGAUAGAGUUUAUGGAGAUUGUGUGAUAUCUGUUCAAGGUAAGGACACUAUAGUUGAUCUAUUUGUUUUGCUAAUGAAUGACUUUUAUGUGAUUAUGGGUAUGGAUUGGUUGGCGUCAUGUUACGCUUUGGUUGAUUGUUAUGCUAAGCUUAUAAAUUUUGAUAUUCCUGGAGAAACACCUUUUGUGUGGAAAGGUAUCAUUCCUGUGACUCAGGGAAAGAUAACAUCUUAUGUUAAAGCAUGUAGAAUGAUUAAUCAUGGGCGCUUGGGUUUCAUUGCUACUGUUUAUGACACUCCAGUAGAAGUUGUUUCUAUUGACAAUUUUCUUAUUGUUUGAGAGUUUGUUGAUGUAUUUCUAGAUGAUUUG